rnacentral:misc_RNA from 1 species
AUUAACCCACGAGCUCCAUUAACUAAAUUAACACGAAAGCUUAAAAUUGAUUCCUUCAAACAUAAUUGCAUUAUAGCUAGAACUAGUGCGUUGUUACCAUCAGAAUGAAUGAUGUCUCACACACAGCUAGAUCUAGCAAGGAUAGAUAUUUGCAGCAUUCCCCUGAGGCUGUUUCCAUUAUUUGAACCUGUGAUGCCCAAGUCACAAUGGAAUGGAAUGGAAUGCCCAAUUUUGAGUUCAGUAAAGACAAAAUGCAUUUGGAGACCCUUCUACUUAUCCCAAAUCUUUCACCAAAGAUACUUCUAGUUUUUCCCCCCUUUACUAAAACAUUACAAUAUUCAUUUAAUACAAAAAGAAAUUUAAAAGCAAUAAGUUUAGGAAAAUGAAAAUAUUUAAUAGAACAAAAUAACAUUAACUUUUGCCUUGUCAGCAUUUUAUAUGCUAUUUUAUUCUUUAAAGGGCUUGAUUAAUCACAAAUGAAAGUUUGUUCCCAUUUCAACAAAACAAAUCACUAAGUGUCCAAUUGGACAUUCAUCUUAAGAAAAAAAGGCCUCCAAAUGUGUUUGACCUUCAAUAGAUACUGGUACCUUACAACAGCUAGAUAGAGAUCUAUAAUUUCAUUUCUA